rnacentral:rRNA from 1 species
AUACGGAGGAUCCGAGCGUUAUCCGGAUUUAUUGGGUUUAAAGGGAGCGUAGGUUGACGUAUAAGUCAGCUGUGAAAGUUUACGGCUCAACCGUGAAAUUGCAGUUGAUACUGUAUGUCUUGAGUGUACAAGAGGUGGGCGGAAUUCGUGGUGUAGCGGUGAAAUGCUUAGAUAUCACAAGAACUCCGAAUUGCGAGCGAGCGCUACUAGGUACAACUGACACUGAGGCUCGAAGGCGUGGGUAUC